rnacentral:rRNA from 1 species
GACGAACGCUGGCGGCGUGCUUAACACAUGCAAGUCGAACGGAAAGGCCCUGCUUUUGUGGGGUGCUCGAGUGGCGAACGGGUGAGUAACACGUGAGUAACCUGCCCUUGACUUUGGGAUAACUUCAGGAAACUGGGGCUAAUACCGGAUAGGAGCUCCUGCUGCAUGUUGGGGGUUGGAAAUUUUCGGCGGUUGGGGAUGGACUCGCGGCUUGUCAGCUUGUUGGUGGGGUAGUGGCUUACCAAGGUUUUGCCGGGUAGCCGGCCCGAGAGGUGGACCGGCCACAUUGGGACUGGGAUACGGCCCAGACUCCUACGGGAGGCAGCAGUGGGGAAUAUUGCACAAUGGGCGGAAGCCUGAUGCAGCAACGCCGCGUGCGGGAUGACGGCCUUCGGGUUGUAAACCGCUUUCGCCUGUGACGAAGCGUGAGUGACGGUAAUGGGUAAAGAAGCACCGGCUAACUACGUG